rnacentral:lncRNA from 1 species
GUAAAAUAACAAGCUACUGACAGAUUGCAUGUUACUGUUGUUCCAGCCUGAGUACCUGUUUACUGAUGGAUACUGGAAGGGUGAAAACGGUAUGCAGAGAAACCCUGCAGGGUAUGGCAUUCAGUACAGCUUCCAGGAAAUGUCCAGUGGUGGAGGAGUGAUGAACAUGCCACAUCACAACAUGUCAAUGGUUCGAAGGGAAAGGGAAAGCUUUAGGAAUGAAAGCCGCCAGAUGUCCCGCACACACAGCAUGGCUCGAACAGAAAGGAACCUGGCAGAACACAUUGACAGGAAAAUCAGUGGGCUUUCGGAAGAGCAGAGGGACUUUCCAGCUUAUUCUUCGUAUCAGUAUGAAUAUGAGGGGAGGGGUAGUGACUGCCAGUCACUGGAUCAGCUGACUGUUAGCAACCUCGGUGAUAACCUGGACUUCCUGCAGAACCUCGGGCCCAAGUUCAACACUCUGGGUGGGAUCUGUCAACAGUCACUGGAGCGCAGGAAUGUCCGGCUGUGAAAAUGGAUGAUGAUUUGAGGCUUUAUAUCGUUCCACAUUUCAUUAAUGCUUGUUGCUGCAAAGGGGUUACGGGGAUUUUUUUAUUUUUAUUUUUUUGUGCUGUGAUUUGUUUUUUUUGGAGACAGUGCUCUAGGCCAUUGUUGCUCAAAGACAUGGCUGGAAUUUAAGCAGCAUUAAACCUGUACAGGCGCAGAAUUAUUAUGGAUAAAAGCUGUGAACUUUACAUCUUACAUUACAUCAAGACUGCCUGCCCUCAAGAAACUGUGGGAUACACUGUGCAUUUGUGCUCACGAUUGAUGUGUAAGGAAGCAUGUUGGGUGUUUAAAAUGAAAGCUCGUGCCUGCAUCCCACCAGCUUGUCUGAAAGGAUCAGAGGCAGUUGGUGGCGUGGACUAGUGGUCUUCACAGUGACCAGUGAGCUUCUUCUCUCAUUGACGCACUGACAAGCCACUGUUCUCGUUUUUUACUUACACACACACACACACACACACAAAUGCUUUGGAGGACGUUGGGACACCAGGCCCUGGAACCCAUUGACUUCCAACAACCCAUUGACUGGACUGGAUAUUCCAUAGAAGAAAGGGACAUCAUACAACAUCAUGCAAUUUCUGAAUAACAUGAGGGUGAGUAAAUAAUGACUGAAUAUUCAUUUUUGAGUGAACUUUCCCUUCUGAGCAUGAAAUGUAAGUAUCCGAGAGUCUGGCAGGUGGCAGUAAUGCACCAUUGAUCAUCAUUACAUCCCUCUUCCAUUUUUACUCAAAAGGCCUUACUUCACCUGGGUUUUUUUUCACUGUAGAGAAGUUUUACGAAGAGUGGCUGGAAUUCAUUUUUAUCACAUUACAUUUACAUUACACACAAUGUUGUGUUCAACUAUUUCUUUCAUAUUUCUCAUUGUAUUGUAAAUAGUUUGUGUUUGUUUCACCCACUGUUUUUUAAGUAAGGA